CCUUGAUGUCUCACUCCCUAUUUUUUCUUGUCCUAUAGCUCUUAAUAUUCUUUCCGUGAUGAUAUUAUUGAAAUAUUGAAUAUGAUAAACAAUGGAAAGUAUUUUCUCUAGUCACAUAUAUUGAAAUUCUAAAUCUCUCUUGACAUUGUAUGCAUUUUCCUGGCCAGAGGUUCUGGGAUGCUUUCAAUACUGAAAAUUUUCAUCAAAUGAGCCAGAAAUUCUUCUUGACUUCAACACAACAUGGCCAUUGGGAACAGAAUAAACCACAAAUAAGGAAAUGGAGAAAGUGGUUGACACACACAAAAUUCUUGGUUUUAAAUUUAAUAAUCAUGCUAGUUAUGGGAUGGAGCUUUGAAAAUAGAGCCAAUGACAGGAUGAAAAACACUGACGAAGAGUAUUUAAAUUGAAUUUUUACUAAAUAAAAGAAAACAGUGGAUCUGAAGGACAUCCAUAUACCUGGCGAUGAAUUUUUCUUCUUGGAAAUUUGAAGUGUUCGUAUUUCCUGAAUUCGGAGAGAGGGUUAAAAGCAAAUGGGAAGUGGAUAACUAGAAUCCAACUUUCCAGCAUCGAGUCAUGGACCCAAUGAUGUCAUGAAACUUGCACAGCAGUCACUCUUAUCUUAAAUCCAUGGACGAAUUCCCGUCCAACAUUUCUUUUAAAAGCAAAUUAAUUUACCACUAAAGAAAUGAUGUGAAGUUUAAAUGUAUCAGUAUAUUUUCCAGGAUGUCUACAUAGUUUAUAUUAAAAAAAAACAACUGAGACACUAAUUUCACUUUUUUUCAUGUCCGUACAUGAAAAAUCAAGCAAUGGUGUCUAUAAAUCAGGCCUACAGAUGAGAAAGGAUGAUGAUGCAUCUUAGUUCAGAG
ensembl:lncRNA